GCAGUCGUUGCCGAGUAGUUAAGGCAAUGCAGAAGGAAUCCAUUGGGGUCUCCCCGCACAGGUUCGACUCCUGUCGACUGCG
rnacentral:tRNA from 1 species